rnacentral:rRNA from 1 species
GGUUAAAAAGCUCGUAGUUGGAUUUCUGUUGAGGACGGCCGGUCCGCACUAUGUGCGUGUAUCUGGUUCGGCCUUGGCAUCCUCUUGAGGAACGUUCCUGCGCUUGAUUGCGUGGGGCGGUACUCAAGACUUUUACUUUGAGGAAAUUAGAGUGUUCACGGCAGGCAAGCGCCUUGAAUACAUUAGCAUGGAAUAAUAAUAUAGGAUCUUGGUUCUAUUUGUUGGUUUCUAGGGCUAAGGUAAUGAUUAAUAGGGAUAAUUGGGGGCAUUUGUAUUAACGCGUCAGAGGUGGAAUUCUUGGAUUGCGUUACGACAAACUACUGCGAAAGCAUUUGCCAAGGAUGUUUUCAUUGAUCAAGAACGAAAGUAUGGGGAUCGAAGAUGAUUAGAUACCGUCGUAGUCUAUACCAUAAACUAUGCCGACUAGGGAUUGGAGGUCGUCCUUUUUAUGACUCCUUCAGCACCUUAUGAGAAAUCAAAGUCUUUGGGUUCCGGGGGGAGUAUAGUCGCAAGGCUGAAACUUAAAGGAAUUGACGGAAGGGCACCACCAGGAGUGGAGCCUGCGGCU